AUUGAACGCUGGCGGCAGGCUUAACACAUGCAAGUCGAGCGCUCGGCGGACGUGUGAGUAAUGUCUGUGAAACUGCCUGAUGGAGGGGGAUAACUACUGGAAACGGUCGCUAAUACCGCAUACCAUCAGAUUUGACCCGAUGUGCUUAGCUAGUAGGUGGGGUAAUGGCUCACCUAGGCGACGCACCCUAGCUGGUCUGAGCGGAUGACCGGCAAAACUGGAAGUGAGACCCGGUCCAGACGCCUACGGGAGGCAGCAGAGGGGAAUAUUGCACAAUGGGCGAAAGCCUGAUGCAGCCAUGCCGCGUGUGGGAAGAAGGCCUUCGGGUUGUAAAGAACUUUCAGCGAGGAGGCGUUACUCGCAGAAGAAGCACCGGCUAACUCCGUGCCAGCAGCCGCGGUAAUAC
rnacentral:rRNA from 1 species